ACCAUUUUCCCAUUGCGGCGGGGUUAGUUUGCGAGACUACCCGACGUAGCAAAUGAGAAUUUAUGCCAUGGUAGCAUCUUCUGAACUUUCCUUUCCCUCACUUUCUCCUUUUUCCACCCCUAGGGUUUUCAGCAGUAAACCUCUUUAGAUUCCCAUUAGCAUUGCGGAAACAAACCCGUCAGUGUCAGUAGACGAUUUCCUUCCGACCUUCACUGCCAUUAGAAGCCAGCAAUGGAGGGAAAUCAGCUAACCCCAAGCUUGAUUCAACUUCAUCCAUAUCUGAGUAGGAGAAGUAAAACAAACUCCUCCAUUUCUGAGUGGUGAAUCUUUCCAUCCAAUUCCUACAGGAAGGAGAGAUAGUGUCAUGUCUUAUCCACAAAUUGCUUAAAUGGAGCUUCCAGCACCAGAUGAUGAUCUCUCUGCCAUCCUGCUCAAGUUUUUCACUAGAAAUUUUCAACGAACAAGAAACACUCGGCCAUUUGGGUAAAUUUACUAAACCCUAUUGACAAUUUUCCUCCUAUAAUCAUAUUUCUUGAAUCCAACUGGGGUUUUUGUUUAUGCUUGAAUAACGUUUAGCUUGUAAUUGUGAAUCAAAUUUGUGUAUGGGUUUCACUAGAGAAAGGAAGUGAUUGAUCCAGUUCUUAAUGUGUCAAUCAAUCUAUUGCACAAUUCUGGUUUUAUUUUCUAAUGUAUGAUUGAGACUUGUUAUUUCA